AGAAUGAGAGGUAAAAGAGCUAAGUGUGAUAAAAUAAUCUGCAUGAAACAUUUAUUCACUGCUUCAGAUGAUCCAGAAGUUACAUUCAGCAUUUGCAAUUGCACACUGAGAUGAUGCUGCUUACUUACGUGGUUUGAGUGUCCCUCAACCAACUGCUGUUCACUGUUUCUAUUAAUCACCUGGGCCAAAAUAUUAAUUAAUAACUAUUGUGAUUUGCCAAUGCCAAAAACAUUGGGGAAUAAUGAAGCACAAGGGUAGGCAGAGCAGUCUGUUCUGCACAUUGUGUUUGCAAAAAAAAACAUAUAUUUUUCUUAUGUCAGCUAUCAAGGCUGUAUCUUAUUAAAGUAAGAGUGUCUGUACAUGCAGAGUGAGUGAGUACCUCAUUAAACCACAGCUAAGGAGGAAUCAGAAAUCAUGGUGAUAAAGUAGGUGAACAUGAGCCCCCCAAAGCAGUUCUGCAAGGCUCGAUCAAGUUAAAAGAAACUUACUAGUGAGAUCACAAAGGUAAUAGUAUGUGUGGCAUUGCUUAGACCAUUCAAAAAAUGUUGUACUUGUGUUAGAAUGGACUCUUUAAAAGGAGGUUUAAAGAAAUAGAGAAAGAAAUUGUACAGUGCAUCAUACAGCAAGAGCAAUAAACUGAAAUCAGUUCGUUUCUCAAGGAACAGAGGCUCAAAGGUGCUUAUUUGGAACUAUCUGCAUCCGUAGAACUCUAGUGUCCAGUUGGAGAGCCACAUCAUAACAAUCAGAUGCCAAAGUAUUUUACUAAAAUGUAAUGACUGGAAGCUUAUGUUACUCAAACUAAGAUGUACUACAUAAUUUACUGAAUUAAUUUCUGUUAAAUGGGUCAUGAUUAAUUCUUUUUUUACUCAGUGACUUAACAUCUUAGUAACAUGCAGUUGUAUUCAUCCCAAAAUUACUGUACUACUAUGAUCUAGCAUUCUAUGGUCUGUUAUGCAGAAGCUUCUUUCUCACCUAUAAUAUGUGAGUGGCUUAUUCUCUAAAUAUUUUUAAGCUCUUACCAUUUAAACUUACUCUGUGAGGCUACUGAUGUGUAUAACUGCCUGAAGAUCUGCUCCUGUUUUCUGUUCUUUUCUUGUUUGGUGAAUCCCGAUAGUCUGACAGUGCCUUUUUUUCUCAAAGGUGGCCCAUAUCUGAACUGCUGUCCUUUAGCAUAAUAAGCUCUUGGUAAAACUAUAAUAUGCUUAGUCAGAGGCAGUAUUAAUCAGUUGGAGGUGUAGUUGUAAAAUCAAAGAAUUGUUAAGGUUGAUAAAGACCAUUAAGAUCAUUUAGUCCAGCCAUCAACCCAUGACCACCAUGCCCACUAAGUGACUUGAAACACCUGCCAACCACAACCCUGUAGCAUUCACCACACCACUCAGCUUAGGAACGAUACAACAUAGUAAAGUUAGGUUUUCUGCUGGGCCAGAGUCUCCUGGAAUUAACCUCAUGUCAUUUUCCUAGUAAUUAAUGCUUUCAGAUGUGAUUCUGUUACUCACGUCUUUCUAAAUAUAAAUUUCAGUAGAGAACUAUUCACCAUUAGGAAGACAGUUGGGUCUCAGCUAGAGAGUAGGUCACUAAAGCAUAACAGCAUUUUCAGGUUCAAAAAGUGUUCUGCACAUAUGGCACUACAGAAAGACAUCUAGAUCUACAGAAAGAGAUUCUAGAGCAGCAUGACACUAACCAGGUUGUUUUUACAGCUGGGCUUGACAAAACAGGACAGUAUCUUUCAGUGGCAGACAGGUGGGUUAACUAAUCUGUUUUAGAAUAUUUCUACCUGAAACUCUUGUUCCUGAAAAGAGAGGCUGAAUAAAUACCUAAUUGUAACAGAUACAUUUGCAGUCCUCUAAGCAAUUAUUGACCCUGUCCAGUGAAGAGCAGAGCAGGUGCUGCACAGGUACCUGUAGUGGAUGUGCCUGAAGAAGAUGCAGUGCCUGCUGAUGUGCAGCACUUACAUGUUGGUUGAAUGGGAGCACAGUUCUAACACUACUUGUCAUUUUGAACUUUGUCUAAGGACAGGUUUCUGUUUGCAGCUUUCUACACUUGGCUUGCUUUGUUUGCUACUAGGUUCUUGUUGUUUGUUUUCUUUUUUUUCCUGGCAAACAUGUUUUAUGUAAACAAGGAUGCGUUUGCCCACUGUUCCACCUAAUCUGAUCAGGACAGAGAAAAUUCAGCUCAGCACAUUAGGGAGAGGUUCAAGAUUAGGUCACAAACAAGCAGAGGGAAUAUCGUGGCAUAAAAAAGGAGCUCUAAUAGCCUCAUUUAUUUGCACCCUGAGGCCCCUGGCAUUCCCACAAAAAGUAACAAUGACAAUAAAAAAGGCAACUUGCCCAAAGAAACCACAAAGCAAGAGGCAAGCUAAUAAUACAAGAAAUAUAUGGAAAUGAACAGAACAUUAUAGGGUAACAUUAAUUUACUGUUCCUGGAAAAAAAAACUGGCAGAAGUCUUUAUGCAUGAAUAGCUCAGUGUAUUUGGAAAAUUAAAACAAGUGUUAGUUGUUUGUUUUUUAAUCACUUUAUAUUAUGUUAUUUAAUGAAACACUUGCCUUAAAAAUAUCCAUAUUCAUCCUCAAUAUGUUCAAUUUUGCUGUUAAAAGACCUGCUGUGAGCAAGGCAAUUUGGCAGUGUUUUGUGGGAAACCCGAGAGUCAUUAAUGGAAAGCAGUAUUGGAUGAGAUGUUCGUAAGUUUUAAAUCAUCCUGUGUCUCAUCAUUUUUCUAGGCUUGAAACAUACUGAGAAAAUAUUUUUAGGACUGAACAGAGUAGUCAGCCCCCUUCUCCUUCCCCCCCACCCUCACAAACUUGCUCUUUUGGAUUGAGUUCCACUUGUUUUCUAACUGCCUGCUCCAAUUACAUUUAACUCCAGCAAUAAAACACAGUGAAUUGCUGUUCUUCUUAUUAGCUUACACCAUCUUCUCCUUUCUUCUCCUUUUCAUAUAAUCUCUCCAUUUUCCUUUGCAUGAAGAUCAGCUCGUAUCUAUAUGAAUUCUCCUUUCUCUUUUUCCAUGAUCAUUGUGAUGCAUUCACCUAACAAAUGUACAUGUGCGUCACUGGUCAAGGCUGGAGAACUUUUACCUUCACUGUUUCUGUGCUCAUCUCUCUCCCUGUCAAACCCAGGGGCAUAUAGGACAGUAUGUUCUGUUUCCGCUUGCUCAAUUGCUUGGUGAAACACUGUGCUUUCAGGGCUGACUGUUCAUAAGAGCAUAUCUCCUUGCUUUCACCCGCCUUCACCUGACUGUCAGGCAUACCUCUGCUGCUGUAAUUCAGCUGCCUUUAUGGUCAGCUGGAUCUCUGUGGGGUCCCUGAAGAUUACAUUUUGGCCUUGUAUAAUACGGAUGAUAUCUCUUGUACAACAGUGAUUGCAUCUAUUUCACCACUGUGUACACUGAUGUCUGUUAUGUUGGCAAGGCUAUGACAUCUGCCAUAGUAUAGUCUGCUGAUUUUCAGCUGCAUAUCCAUACAGAAGAGAAGUCAAAGUGUCUUCCGAAAGACACGAAAUAACUAGAUCUACUUAUUCCACUGCAUAAUCUUCAGAUGCUCAGAGGCCCUGGACUCAAAGCUGUGGUCUAAUUGCAUCACACUCACUCUGCAAUACUAAGUAUUUGGUGCCAAAUCAGAUGAGAGAAUUCAGGACGGGGGGAGGGUUAAUGCAUGCAAGAGAGCUUCAGCAAGGAAUCCAUGUCCCAGUCUCUUUUGUAACCAUUAUGCUGGCCCUACAGAAGGAAAGAAAAAAUGGUUUGAGGCAUGGCACCAAUUAAUUCAAACCCAUUAGCAUGCCAAGGCAUUUACCACAGUGUUGUAAUCAAGAGCCAGUAUUAACAUCUGCAUCAACAAUCUUUCUUACCAUCCAAAAUGAUAGAGAAAGCAAGGUUUGGUGGCUGGAGACAGUUCCCAUUGGAGGCUGGCACUUCAUGCAGUGGAAUGGAGGCAGGGAAUCAGCCUUCCCAAGCCUCCCAGGGAGAGAUCCCGUUUUCCCAUGCAUUUCACUGGAGGUCGUGCAUUCCUGACAGCUUGACAGACUGCUGUGAACAUCUAAAAUCUUCAGACUUUGCUUAUCUGACAGUAUAAUGUAGGGAGGGGGAAAAAUAGCAAAGAAAAAAAAAGAAAAAGGGAGGUCCACACAGUCUCAAACAAGUGACUCUGGACUCCUUGGCAGCAUGAGCCUUUUUUGAUGUCUGACAAUUUUUUUUGCAAUAAGAAACACUAUUCAGUGUUCAGACAUUUUUCCCAACUACACCCAACUUUUGCCCAAUAUUUUUGGGACACAUGGUAACAAAGUUUCAGAAUCCCUCUUGCCAGACAGCCAUGUGUGACUUGGCUUAGAAACCCUUGUUCUGCAGCCAGCUUUCACCUCAGUUUGCAGGUGAGGGUUUCCUGUACGGACAGGCAGAUAACUGCUGAUUUGGUGGACAGUCUGUACAACGUCCAUGUGCUCUUUCAGUUUUCUGCUCCAUCCAGAUAAUUGCAACAGCUGCUUCAUUCCUGGAACUUGGGAACUAAUUUGGAUAUUUGACAAGUCCAGGAUCGAUAGCAAUAUCCUAGAUCUCACAUGAGGGUAGACAACUGAGGUCUUUUUUUUUAAAUCUUCAAGAUUGUAAUAUUCAUUAGUGAACAACAAAUCAACCAUAUAUAUAUCCUACAAUAAGAAAAAGUGCCUAUUCCUGUACACAAGGGUAGCAGAUUUGAUAGUCUAAGCACUAGUUCAUAUUCUUCCCGAUGACCGUAAGAAGUGUCGUAGUCUACUUUGCCAUGCCUUGUCUUUGGGAAGAGGAGCUUACUGCACUAUACUACUUACUGUAGUAAGAAGAUCAUUGUGAGAGGUACUUUCCUGACUAAGCAGGCAAUGCUUUCAGGUAGCUGUUCCUGUUCCCUGUUUUUCUCAGGCCUCUGGUUUCAAGUCUUUCAGGCUUUCAUCAUUAAGAGAACCUCCUACAUUGACAGAACCUAUGUUGGCAGCUCCUCAUUGGUUGUUAAAAUGGUUAGCUAUGAACUGUCAGAACUUGUAACAAGUCUUCCAUCAUCAGAGCUCAAAUCACAUGGUCUUCACAGAAAGCUGUUCUCACUCCUGUCAUCUAAAGGUUGAUGGCUGGGAACCUAAUCCAUACCUUUUGGCAGGCUUCACGUCAUUGGAGUCCCAUGACUGGGUCUGUGGUGACACUUGGUACAGUGGUACUCAUAAUGCUCAGAGAAAACUUAUCUCUGAGUGAAAACUAAGUCAGGUUUUUUUGUUUAGCACCAUCCACUCCCUGCAUGCACAUGUGACCCCACAGACAAGAAGAGAAAUCGCCUACCAGUAAUCAGUGCCCUUCCAGAAAUCUCAUGCACUGAAAAACUGUAGGGGAAACUGAAAUACCGUUUGUUGAAUGUGAGGUUAGAAUGUGUCCCCCUCUAGUGGCUGCUGCUCAGACUUUCUUGGGUGGGCUGUGCAGUAGAGCGCACUUCUGAGUUGCUGGGAAGUAGGCUGCACUGGCAUUAAGAUGCUCGCCAGUGCUUUCUGAAGGCCCUUCUAGUACUUGCCCUUUCUCUUAGAAACUAAAAUCAUGGGGAUUUUUAUUUUCAAAAUAUUAAACUGUUUUUAAUGACAAAAACUCUUGCUAUCUGAUUUGGCAGACAUUUAAAAGUGUCAAGUCAGAAGAGUGAAAUAACUUUCGACCAAUGCAUUCGAGUAGACCUACUGUAUCAUCCAAGCCCACACUGUCUCUUCCGAGAGUGCCAAAUGUCCAGUCCAGUCCUUUGCUCCCAAGGGACAUAAACCACAACUGAUGGGUGGGAGGAGAUCUGGGAGCGCUGCCAACUGAAAGCAGGGAGGCAGGCUCCUCUAAAUUGUAUUCUCCUGAAGAAAUGAAAUCAGAUGUUUCACUGUGCCCAUCUUUCUACAAAACCAUACUGUCUGGAAUAUUUUUUGUUGGUGUCCCUUGAAAUACUUGUUCAGUUUUAUCUUAUCUUUGUUUUAAUUCCAUGACUUUGCCUGGAGCUGAGGUCAGUUACACUGGCUUCUAGUGACCUGGCUUUACCAGUUCACUCACUUGGAGUACUGGGACAUUAGAGCCUUUCCAGUCUCAUCAUGUUUCCCCACUGUUCCAAGGAUGGUUAAAGAUUAACAAGAGCCAUCCAGAGUUCUCCUCAGACAGACUGCAGGUCUCUGGGAUGCAAGUUCUCCAACUGGUGUAAAAAUUUGGAUAGCUAGCUAAUGAUACUGAGCUACUUAAUGGACUGGAAAGGAAGCAUCCUGUUUUGACAGGUGGUCGUAAGGAACCGGGUAGAAGAAAGCAGUUCCAACAGCGAGCAGCCUCACUGUGACAAUCUCAGCAGUCCAUUCCCAGAUUUGGUUGCUCCCGGAACACCCAGCUG